rnacentral:rRNA from 1 species
UACGUAGGGCGCAAGCGUUGUCCGGAAUUAUUGGGCGUAAAGAGCUCGUAGGCGGUCUGUUGCGUCCGCUGUGAAAACCCAGGGCUUAACCCUGGGCUUGCAGUGGAUACGGGCAGACUAGAGGCAGGUAGGGGAGAAUGGAAUUCCCGGUGUAGCGGUGAAAUGCGCAGAUAUCAGGAGGAACACCGGUGGCGAAGGCGGGUCUCUGGGCAGUAACUGACGCUGAGGAGCGAAAGCGUGGGGAGCGAACAGG